rnacentral:lncRNA from 1 species
UCCCAAAACUCUGCUAAAAUUUUUGUUCGAGCACUCCAUUCUUGUUGAGGUAGAGAACUGACUUGAGUGUCGGAGGGUCUUGCCGGAGCAACCCCACCUCCGGUUUAGACUUCUUUUGCAGGUCCCGACGGCGACCGUGACUCCCUCGACUCCAGCUUCUCCGACGCAAGCAGAUUUUUGCACCAACAUUUAUAAUUCACGU